UCGUUAUCGGAACUGACUUAUUCAAGAGACGACGACGCGAAACUCGAGACCAUGCGUGCACGGCUGUUGGGUAUUCUCAAAAGGCAUGAAGAUCUGAAAGAGCGUCUCUCGCGCGUCCAGCAGGGAGCAGGCUAUAGUACAGACGUACAAGUUUAAGCAAGCUACACAUGAGGACAUCUAUGUUUGGCACAGCAAGUAGAGAUUGAUGACUCUGGUUGCUUUUGAUGAAGCCGUACCCUUGCUCAGCUGCUGUAACAGAAGAAAAAUGUGAUGCAUGGUCAGCUGUAGAUGUUGAAUGAUGGCAAGGAAAUCCUUCCCCAAGCAUUGUGCUUUAAGCAGCUCAUCAGGGUUAAGGGUUAAUUGGACCCUGAGAAAUUCACCAUGCGAAUUAAUAGGAAGACCCAUAUAGCCGCCACUGUACAGAGUUGGCAUAUGCUGAAAGAAACACUUUGAGAAGAAGACAAAUUACACUCUGGUUACUAACCGUGACAUUUCGUUGGAAGAGAUUUUGUUCUCGGUGAUUGGGCAUAGUGAUUUUGAUGCAUCGCCUGAUCUCAUUCUCACAGAGGAUAUCAAUGGGGUGAAUGCCGGUACUCAACCUAUUGAUGCACAUGGACAUGAUGACUCUCCAGCGUUUAUGGACCAACCAACCUGUAAUCAUGGACCUUAUUGUCUUGUAGACCAUUUGGUGUUUCGAGUGUUUUGGAGCUUGCACUUUGUGCAUGUAGAUACAAACUUGUGUGUUCUGGACCAUCUGAAGUCUCUCGUAGUAACCAAUAGUCCUUAUCUUUU